rnacentral:rRNA from 1 species
AUUGAACGCUGGCGGCAGGCCUAACACAUGCAAGUCGAACGAGUGGCGGACGGGUGAGUAAUGUCUGGGAAACUGCCCGAUGGAGGGGGGUAACUACUGGAAACGGUGGCUAAUACCGCAUACCCUCGGAUGUGCCCCGAUGGGAGUAGCUCGUGGGUGGGGUAAAGGCUCACCUAGGCGACGAUCCCUCGCUGGUCUGAGAGGAUGACCAGCCACACUGGAACUGAGACACGGUCCAGACGCCUACGGGAGGCAGCAGUGGGGAAUAUUGCACAAUGGGCGCAAGCCUGAUGCAGCCAUGCCGCGUGUAUGAAGAAGGCCUUCGGGUUGUAAAGCACUUUCAGCGAGGAGGCGUUACUCGCAGAAGAAGCACCGGCUAACUCCGUGCCAGCAGCCGCGGUAAUAC